UUAAAAUGUACAGUUAAGUUCUUAUUGAUUAUAGUUACCCUAUUGUGCUAUCAAAUAGUAGGUCUUUUUUUUUCACCCAUUGGAAGGAGGCUUUUCCAUCUCACAUUGUACUAGUCCUCUGAUUAGUAGUAUUUCUAAAAUAAUCCCACCAAUUAUUCUGGUUAUUACUUUUUCAAUGCUUUUGAUAAGUAACAAAUAUUUGAAUGCCUGUUAUAUACAAAUUGCUAUGCCACAGGAACUAUAGACACAUCCUCUCCCUUCAAGAGUUCUCACAGUCAGGAAAAUGAAACACAAGCAAUUUAAAAGUAAAGUACAAGAGGCCAAAUAACAAUUCAAUACAGUGACAUCCAAAGGUAAAAAAUUAUUGGUUACCAAAUCAGUAGAAGAGAGAAGUCAUAUGGAACAGAGUCUUCUAAAUGAUCUUUACCUGAAUCCAAACACAUUUGUUUCCUUUUUCAGAUUCAACUUAUCAGUAUAUAAAAGGUUCUGCUGACAUUAAAUCCAACCAGGGAAUCUUCCCCUGUGGACUUCAGUGUGUCACCAUUUUAAUUGGUGUCUAUGACAUACAGACAGGGGUUCCCCUGAUGGGAGUCAUCAAUCAACCUUUUGUGUCACGAGAUCCAAACACCCUCAGGUGGAAAGGACAGUGCUAUUGGGGCCUUUCUUACAUGGGGACCAACAUGCAUUCACUACAGCUCACCAUCUCUAGAAGAAACGGCAGUGAAACACACACUGGAAACACCGGCUCUGAGGCAGCAUUCUCCCCCAGUUUUUCAGCCGUAAUUAGUACAAGUGAAAAGGAGACUAUCAAAGCUGCAUUGUCACGUGUGUG
rnacentral:lncRNA from 10 species